rnacentral:lncRNA from 1 species
UCAAAUACAUCACACGCACUAAAAUAUUAGAAAUAUUUUUCAACAUUUUUGAUUGAUACAAAUGUUCCAAUAACAUAGAUAUAUUCAAGUCCAAGAUGAAUAGUGAUGAACACUAAUGUUGUCAUUAUUCUAAUCACAACAUCCAUUUGAAAGAUUUGAUGCUUAUACAGAAAACAAACAAGUAUAACAUGGUUCUUUAUCAGAACCAGAAUUAUUCCUUCAAAAGAUGCUGAAAAUUGUCACUGAUAAAUAGAUAGGGGCUAUCAACCAAGCACCAAAAUUUGGUUGACUGACUGCAAAGCUAAAAGUUAACUCAAUUUAUAGCAGGGGGCUCUUGCAACGCUAUUUGUUCAUAUUAUCUGGUGGAAGUAUGAACAUAUGAAGCUACAAAGCAAAUAAAAAUCUCAACAGUAAACCUCUCUUUGAAACAAAUGAUCAUAGUCCUCAAUGUAGUAGAAAAGCAAUGGAGCAGAAUUUCUCGAUACCGACUGCAGGGCAGGUGUACUGAAUGUAGUAUCCCAGGGGAGAGCUACAUACAUCAGGGAGGACCUACUACAGAUAAGAAUUCUUACCACCCAUGGAUUCCAAAGCACCUAAAAUUCUGGAGUGCAGAAACCAAAAGUAUUAGUUAGAAACAAUGAAGUACAGAACAAAUUGCAAGUUUAAAAAUCAAGUAUAUCUUCCCAUGAUCCCCCUUUCACCAGUCGAAUCAUGUGGAAUAUAAUGAAAAGGGAACUACUUUUAUAUCUUCUUUAUUAACAUUAUUACCCGAAAAUUGCCUUUGGAGCUCGGCCUCCAUGGAGGCCUCCAAAUUAAAAUUUCAAAUUUCAUCACAAUUCAUAUUUUUACAUUUCAGAGAAUUCUAAAAAAAUACAGAUAUACAUGAAGGCAUAACACACGUGUGUAAAUUUUCAGUAUGCAAUGCUGAUAAAUUUAGGCUAAUGUAAAAAUAUAUAAGGUACUUAAGUGCUUGUACAGAAAAAAGAAUAAGACAUACGUAGUUUGUAGAACAUGCCAUGUAUAUUUUUAUGGUAAAGAAGACACUCCACUACCAUUAUCAUUUAUCAAUGUCUACACCUUCUUUUCUCUCACAAACCCAGAAGCAGCAAAGUAAGUACAAUACCACCAAAGACAUUUAUGUAAAAAGAGUUAUUAGCACAAAAAAUCCACUAUAAACCGAACCGAUCAUAACCUAGUAAUUCAUAAUAGCAGGUGAACAUCUUAAAUUUUAUCAAGAUAUCUCGAUGUACUAGCCAAGGGGGCCUUUUUCGUCUUAAAAUUUCCUGAAGCAUGUCGAGCUUCCUAACACUAAUAAUCAGUAAACAAAGCCAUUUAGAUUUGUCGCUAAACAAGUAAAAGUAGCAUGUGAUACCCGCACACAAAAUUUAUGUACUUGGAAUUUCCAUCACUAUCUCAUACAUUGUCACCAUUGAAUGGAUCUAGAUGACAAAUAAUCAAAUCAGACUAAAAUCUAAGAAUGUUAGCUCCAUGAUGCUACCGGUGGGUUCAAGCAUCAAGUGCUUUCACGGCAGUUUCUGAGCUCAACUUCCCAACACGGUCAACGCCAAAGGAACAAGUAUCGAGGUGCCCACCGUUACAGUUUAUAUGAAAAAAUAUACCGAGAUGCAGAAAGCAAGAUGCAAGCCUACGCAAGCAACCCUUUCCUAGAGUGUGUCUCUCUCCUGAGUUGAACAAAUAUUCACACCAUCUAAUUAUACUGAAAAGAGGCUCCCGAUGUUGUAAUCAAACGCUUUAUUGGGGUUCCUUGAACCCAUGUCUUAGCAUCUUGGUAAUGAAUAUAGGUUCAUACUAACCAGAAGACAACUAUCAAGAAUAUAUGUAGGAUAAUAUGUUGCCACCAAUCUAACCUCUAUCAUCAGAGAUAGUGGAGAUAAAUUGUAAGAGCN